ensembl:lncRNA
GUGGCGACCUUCAAGAGGGUUCAUGCCAAGGGAGCCCUUCCAGUGCCCCGGCCCUCAGUGAUCAGCCCUGCCAACCCACACCUCCACAAGAGGCCCUCCAACACUAGCAGACUGGAGUCUCUGCGUCCCCCAGCCCUGUGGAAGGCCUGCGAUCAAAUCCCGCUGGCCCUCAAGGGACCGAGUCCUGAGAGGGAUAUUCUUUGGGGUAAAGGCUAAACUAAUAAUGAGUAUUGAAGGCGCAGAGGAAAUACGCAUUUCAUUCUUCAGUCUUAAGCUAAUGAACCACUGCUUUCCAAAGGAACGAGGGAGCCAGUCUGGGGGCUGGGCCCCAGUUUGAGUGGAGAACCGCGGUGGGCAGGCUGAAGGCGGAGCCGCUCUGUCAAUCAGAUGACUCUUCUUGGCGGGCUGAAUGCACAAACAGGAAGUGGAUCAGCCCUCCGGAGGGGAGCAGAAGUGAACAGGCCCCUCGGAGCGAGGCUGUGAGUAUGCCAGCAAGGUGGUGAGUUUCGUUUCGGCGGAAGCCGGACGCGGGGUCCGGGAAGACGGGCGUGGGCCCCCAGCCCCAGGGUGAGACCAGCAGCGGGGCGGGUGGCGGGUCACGGGGAC